CGAAAUGCGAUAAGUAAUGUGAAUUGCAGAAUUCAGUGAAUCAUCGAAUCUUUGAACGCACAUUGCGCCCGUCAGCAUUCUGGCGGGCAUGCCUGUUCGAGCGUCAUUUCAACCCUCAGGACCCCCCUUUCGCGGGGAGGGACCUGGCGUUGGGGAUCGGCCCGCCCCCCGCGGCGGCGCCGUCCCCGAAAUCUAGUGGCGGUCUCGCUGCAGCCUCCCCUGCGUAGUAGUUACAACCUCGCAUCGGAGCGCGGCGCGGCCACGCCGUAAAACCCCCGACUUUCUGAACGUUGACCUCGGAUCAGGUAGGAAUACCCGCUGAACUUAAGC
rnacentral:misc_RNA from 1 species